GCAUAUGGGAUCUUAGCUCACUGACCAGGGAUUGAACCCGAACCCCACUAAUUGGAGUCUUAGCCAUCGGACCGCCAGGGAAGUCCCUCAGGAUCACUUUUGAACAGCUGCCGUCAUGAUCCUCCAUCUUGUUCUGUGAAUGACAUCCCUUGAGAGGUUUCACGAGCAAGACCCAUCAUUUGGCUUCUUGACUGGAUGUGUACCUGCGUGUAUCCACCUGUGUGCUGAACUCAUCCAACCACUGCUUAUCAAACUCCUUCACUGAAUUUGCCCAAUCCUGCCUGCUUCUAACUAUACCACUCAGCCUUCGGUCCCGCUCUCCUGGCCUUGAUUAUCUUGUGUGGUCUAAGGUGGCUAGAGAAGCAAUAAACAGACAGCAUGGGAGUGGGAUGGCAAUAACUCUACAUUCUAGAGACUCUCUCUUGCCGGUUUUGAUGAUGCAAGUGGCCAUAUUAGAGAGACCUGCGUAGCAAAACACUGAAAGCAACUUUCCCCAACAGCCAGUGAGGAACAUCAAGCCCACAGACCUUUAGAGACUGAAUCCUGCCAAUAGUCACAUCUUUCCCCAGUCGAUGCUUCAGAUGAUGCUGCAGACCCUGGACCCCCAACUGCAACCUGGGAGAGACAGGAAGAUCAAACAAGUCCAUCCUAAGUGAAAUCAACCCUGAAUAUUCAUUGGAAGGACUGAUGCUGAAGCUGAAGCUCCAAUACUUUGGCCACUUGAUGUCCAGAGCUGACGCAUUGGAAAAGACCCUGAUGCUGGGAAAGAUUGAGAGUAGGAGGAGAAGGGGAUGACAGAGGAUGAGAUGGUUGGAUGGCAUCACCGACUCAAUGGACAUGAGUUUGAGUAAACUCUGGGAUAUAGUGAAGGACAGGGAAGCCUGGUGUGCUGCAGUUCAUGGGGUUACAAAGAGUCGGACACGACUGAGUGACUGAACAAAAAUGACAACAGUAAGAGACAAGAAGCAGAAGACAAGCUGGAUUGUAUCUCCAUUCCUGACUCACAGAAACUGUGAGAUAAUAAAAAUUUUAAGCCACUAAAAGUUGGGGGUAAUUUAUUAUGUGGCAAUAGGUAACGAAUACAGAUUUUGGUCUAGAGUCUAGAAUAAUAUGAACCAAAGUCUCAGUGGGAUUAGUUUUAAAACUCAUAAUUGAGAAUAUAAGUCCCAUGCAGAGUUUUGAAGGAGAAAACCAGACAACUUUUCUUAGGAUAAGAAAGCAUAUCCUUGUCAUGAAGAAAAGAACAUAUAAGGACUCGCAGCAUCCAUCAUUGCAGAGACUAUUCCCUGAGAAAUGUUUGUCUUUAUUUUAUGCACUGCAAAAUGGAGAGUAGCAGAAUGAAUAAUUUUUCUUGUCCUCAAGAUACUUUGUCUCUAGAAGAGCAGUGAAUAAAUAAUUGAGCAUCUAUUUUCAAAAGCUCAAGUAAAAUAAAGGUACCAAAUGCUAUAGAAGCUAUACUUCCAUAUGUACAUAUGGGAGAGAUUAGUUCCAACAGAGUGGAAGAAGAGAACUAAGACGUUUACUUGGAGGAAAUGCCAAUUGAAUUGGCCUUGAGAAAUCGGAAAUAAAAUAGUAGUAUUUUAACAGAUGGAAGAGGUGAGCCAAAGCAUUCCUGGAGGAAAGUAUAAGAAAAUGCUCAGAUAUAAGAAAGUAUGGGGUGAAUUCAGGGUGUCUUCAGGAAGCACAUGUGGGACAUUAAAUAGAGUGCCUCUUGG
ensembl:lncRNA